AUACGGCCAUAAUACGUUGAAACACCGGUUCCCGUUUGAUCACCGAAGUUAAGCAACGCCGAUCAUGAACAGCACCUCAAUAGAUGACCGCUUGGGAAUACAAGCUGCUGUAA